ACUGUGCUGCCAGGCAUACAAGAGUAUAGCAUAUACAAUUAUUGUAUAGGACAUAAUACUUGAUAAUGACCAUAAAAUACUAUUAAUAAGUUACUGGUAUAUGUGCUAUACCAUACUUUUAAUUGUUAGUUUACAGCAUGCUCUUUUAUCUAUAUCUCUAUAUCUAUAUAUAGACAUAUAGAUAUAGAGAUAUAGAUAUAUAGAUAAUAUGCUGUAAAACAGCUUCAGGCAGGUCCUGCAGGAGGUAUUCCAGAAGAAGGCAUAGGAGAUGACAGCUUUACAUAUGUUAUUGUACCUGAUGAGUUUCCAGUGGAAUAAGAUGUGGAGUUGGAAGAGAGUGAUACUGUUGAUCACGACCCUGUGUAGGUCUAGGCUAAUGUGGGUGUUUGUGUUUUAGCUUUUUUUUUUUUUUUUUUUUGAGUCGGGGUCUUGCUCUGUCACCCAGGCUGGAGUGCAGUGGCAUGAUCAUUGCUGACUGCACAUCAAACUCCUAUGCUCAAGUGAUUUUCUUGCCUCAGCCUCCUGAGCAGCUGGGACUAUAGAAAUGUGCCACUAUGCCCAGUGAAUUUUUAAUUUAAUUUAAUUUUUUAGUAGGGACGGGGUCUUGCUAUGUUGACCAAGCUGGUUUUGAAUUCUUGCCUCAAAUGAUCUACACUCCUCAGCCUCCCACAGUGCUGGGAUUACAGGCAUGAGCUACUGCACCUAGCCUGGGUUUUAGUUUUUAACAAUAAAGUUUAAAAAGUAAAAAAAAAAUUAAAUAGAAAAAAAACUCAUGGAAUAAGGAUAUGAAGAAAGAAAAUAUUUUUUGUACAUUUUUAGGAUGUGUUUGUGUUUAAGCUAAGUGUUAUUACAAAAGAGUCAAAAAGUUAAAAAAAAUCAAAAAGUUUAUAAAGCGAAAUAGUUACAGCAAGCUAAGGUUAGUUUAUUAUUGAGAAAAGAAUUUUUUAAAAAUAAAUUCAGUGUAGAGUAUGUGUACAGUGUUUGUAGUCUACAGUUGCAUACAGUAGUAUCCUAGGCCAUCACAUUCACUCACCACUUACUCACUCACUGACUCACAUAAAGCAGCUUCCAGUGGUGCAAGCCCCAUUCAUGUUUAUUAGAUUGCUACUGGUGUGCAAUUCAGAAGAGAAGAAGGCUUGGAGACAGAGAACAGUGAAAAAUGGAGAGUUGGAUCAACACCAAGUUGGAGACAGGAACUUUGUAACACCUGACACAGAGUGGAAAUUCAAUAACAGUUGAAUGAAGGUUAAAUGAACCACAUCUGUAUGCAA